rnacentral:rRNA from 1 species
AGUCAAUAGAUACCCAGGUAGUCCACGCCGUAAACGAUGAGUACUAGGUGUAGGAGGUAUCGACUCCUUCUGUGCCGCAGUUAACACAAUAAGUACUCCGCCUGGGAAGUACGGUCGCAAGAUUAAAAACUCAAAGGAAUUGACGGGGGCCCGCACAAGCAGCGGAGCAUGUGGUUUAAUUCGAAGCAACGCGAAGAACCUUACCUAGACUUGACAUCUCCUGAAUAGCGCAGAGAUGCGUGAAGCCCUUCGGGGCAGGAAGACAGGUGGUGCAUGGUUGUCGUCAGCUCGUGUCGUGAGAUGUUGGGUUAAGUCCCGCAACGAGCGCAACCCCUAUUAUUAGUUGCUACCAUUAAGUUGAGCACUCUAAUGAGACUGCCCGGGUUAACCGGGAGGAAGGCGGGGAUGACGUCAAAUCAUCAUGCCCCUUAUGUCUAGGGCUACACACGUGCUACAAUGGUGAGAACAACGAGAUGCAAUACCGCGAGGUGGAGCAAAACUUGAAAACUCAUCUCAGUUCGGAUUGUA